UGGGGUAGGAAACCUCAGUUGAGAGUUGCAGGUGUAGAUGUGCACAUGGUGAAGUUUUCACCUGUGUCUUCGCUUUUCUUUCUCCCCCGAAAGCAAUGGCUUUUCACUCAUAAGUUUUCACCUGUCGAACAUGAAGAUCAAAGUCAAUAAAGGAGCAAGGCGCCCGCUUCCUGGCUCGUGAAAAUUGAGUUUGGCUGGCUGUUGACGUAACGGAAACAGUACACACUAGAGCUAAGUUAAUAAAAUUAUUUUUAAAAACUAACAA